rnacentral:lncRNA from 1 species
GUGGAGGUGGAAUAUUUACUAUGGGCUCAUCAUGAAUAGGUUCUUUAGGAUCUAUAGCUUGUUGCUCUUCAGAGACUUUCUUAGAAAGUAAAAAUAGUACCCAAGGGAUUUUUUAAAAUACCCUAGAAAUUGAGCUACAACUGAUCUAUCCUCUAACUUGUCAGCUUUCUAUUUUUUAACAUAGGCUGGAUAUCUCCAAGUCUUAAGAAAACUCAGACUC